rnacentral:rRNA from 1 species
UACGAAGGGUGCAAGCGUUACUCGGAAUUACUGGGCGUAAAGCGUGCGUAGGUGGCUUGUUAAGUCUGUUGUGAAAGCCCCGGGCUCAACCUGGGAAUGGCAAUGGAUACUGGCAAGCUAGAGUGCGGUAGAGGGUAGUGGAAUUCCCGGUGUAGCGGUGAAAUGCGUAGAGAUCGGGAGGAACACCAGUGGCGAAGGCGGCUACCUGGACCAGCACUGACACUGAGGCACGAAGGUCAGGGGAGCAAACGGG